rnacentral:misc_RNA from 1 species
GAUGAAGAACGUAGCGAAAUGCGAUAAGUAAUGUGAAUUGCAGAAUUUAGUGAAUCAUCGAAUCUUUGAACGCAUAUUGCGCCCGCCAGCACUCUGGCGGGCAUGCCUGUUCGAGCGUCAUUGCUGCCCUCAAGCACGGCUUGUGUGUUGGGCCUCCGUCCUCCUCCCGGGGGACGGGCCCGAAAGGCAGCGGCGGCACCGCGUCCGGUCCUCGAGCGUAUGGGGCUUCGUCACCCGCUCUUGUAGGCCCGGCCGGCGCUUGCCGACACAUCAAUCUUUUUUCCAGGUUGACCUCGGAUCAGGUAGGGAUACCCGCUGAACUUAAGCAUAUCAAUAAGCGGAGGA